UACGUAGGUGGCAAGCGUUAUCCGGAUUUAUUGGGCGUAAAGGGAACGCAGGCGGUCUUUUAAGUCUGAUGUGAAAGCCUUCGGCUUAACCGGAGUAGUGCAUUGGAAACUGGGAGACUUGAGUGCAGAAGAGGAGAGUGGAACUCCAUGUGUAGCGGUGAAAUGCGUAGAUAUAUGGAAGAACACCAGUGGCGAAAGCGGCUCUCUGGUCUGCAACUGACGCUGAGGCUCGAAAGCAUGGGUAGCGAACAGG
rnacentral:rRNA from 1 species